rnacentral:rRNA from 1 species
UACGUAGGGUGCAAGCGUUGUCCGGAAUUAUUGGGCGUAAAGAGCUCGUAGGCGGUCUGUUGCGUCGGCUGUGAAAACCCGGGGCUCAACCCCGGGCCUGCAGCCGAUACGGGCAGACUAGAGUUCGGCAGGGGAGACUGGAAUUCCUGGUGUAGCGGUGAAAUGCGCAGAUAUCAGGAGGAACACCGGUGGCGAAGGCGGGUCUCUGGGCCGAUACUGACGCUGAGGAGCGAAAGCGUGGGGAGCGAGCAGG